GGUGACAGGGUGACAUUGUGACAAGGUGAUGGGGUGACAUGGUGAUGGGGUGACAAGGUGCCAUGGUGGCAUGGUGACAAGGAUACAUGGUGACAAGGUGACAUGGUGACAAAGUGACAUGGUGACAUGGUGACAAGGAUACAUGGUGACAAGGUGACAUGGUGACAAAGUGACAUGGUGACAAGGUGACAUGGUGACAAGGAUACAUGGUGACAAGGUGACAUGGUGACAAAGUGACAUGGUGACAAGGUGACAUGGUGACAAGGAUACAUGGUGACAAGGUGACAUGGUGACAAAGUGACAUGGUGACAAGGUGACAUGGUGACAAGGAUACAUGGUGACAAGGUGACAUGGUGACAAGGUGCCACGGUGACAAGGUGACAUGGUGACAAAGUGACAUGGUGACAGGGUGACAGGGUGACAGAGUGACGUGGUGAUGGGGUGACAGGGUGCCGAGGUGCCAUGGUGACAGGUUGCCAUGGUGACAGGGUGA